AUGGGUUCAGAGGCCAGCCUCACAUGUACAGUGAGGGGCCUGAAAAAGGACGAGAUACCCGUUUUCACCUGGCAGCCCAGCACUGGGAAGGACGCAGUGACGAACAAACCUGUGCUGGACCCCUGCGGUUGCUACAGUGUGUCCAGCGUCCUGCCUGGCUGUGCUGAGCGCUGGAACAGUGGGGAGAAGUUCACGUGCACAGUUAAACUCCCCAGCCAGUCUGAACCCCUAACUGCCACAGUUGUCAAAGACAAAGAGCCCUUGCCACCCCAGGUCCACCUGCUGCCGCCGCCGUCGGAGGAGCUGGCCCUGAAUGAGCUGGUGUCCCUGACAUGCCUGGUGCGAGGAUUCAAACCUGAAGAUGUACUGGUGCGUUGGCUACAUGGAAACCAGGAGCUGUCUCAUGAAAACUACCUGGUGUGGAAACCCAAGAAGGAGCCAGGCGAGGGUCUCACCACCUUUGCAGUGACAAGUGUGCUGCGUGUGCCAGCUGAAGCAUGGAAACAGGGUGACAACUACUCCUGCAUGAUUGGCCACGAGGCUUCGCCCACGGGCUUCACCCAGAAGACCAUCGACCGUCACUCGGGUAAACCCACCCAAGUCAAUGUGACUGUGGUCACGUCAGAGGCAGAUGGAGUCUGCUACUGA